GAAAGCCCCAACCCUGCUUUGCAAAACCCCUGCUGUAAAGGAGACGUACAUUUUCACAGCGCAUGAAAUAAGCAGAAAAAACUCGCUCGAAGUUGCUUUUGGGGGCUUCCUCCCUCACAGCGCAUCAGCCUAACUCUGCAAGUUCUGCUAACAGCCACUGACUGGAGAGGUGCAAACUGCAAGCGCAUGCACAACAAAAAGUUACAGAGAAACCAGAGGGAAAUACAAAUGCCUUCCUCUUCCUGAGCACAGGUGUAUGCUGUGCUGGUGCAGUUGGAAUCUAUGGAGAAGAGAGCAUUUGACUGCUCUGGGUACAAAACUCUGCCAGCAGGCCACCCUUUAGGAGCAUCUACUGCCUUUGCAGUGCCCCUGUCGCAGCCUUGGAGUGUCAUCUUUCCCAGGCUUCCUAAUUGAAGGAUGAUAUACACCUACAAUCUGAGCUAGCGAAAACAGAGGCAAUGAAAAGGCUGAAAAAUCACUUCUUAGAGGAGUCUUUGACUGGACUUGUUGCAUG